UGCGUAGGUGGUGAGGUAAGUCGGAUGUGAAAUCUCCGGGCUCAACCCGGAAAUGGCAUUGGAAACUACCUUGCUGGAGGAUUUGAGGGGGGAGUUGGAAUACUUGGUGUAGCAGUGAAAUGCGUAGAUAUCAAGUGGAACACCAGUGGCGAAGGCGAAUCCCUGGAAAAUACCUGACACUGAGGCACGAAAGCUAGGGGAGCAAACA
rnacentral:rRNA from 1 species